GACAUGCCAGGGCCGGCUGGGUGCCUUUGAGUGGGCACUGGGGGACCAUCACCUCGGCCAGGUAGACUCAAGGGCCACAGCAUCACCUAUCAGUGUGACACUCAGAGGGUAGCAGGAAUAUGGUUCCUCCUCUGUGGAAUGAAAGGCCCAUAAGGGUUGGCCACUAGCCCGUUACCUCCCUCCUUGGGAGAUGGGGCUGCAGCCUACACCUCCCCACCCACCACCCUGUGCCAGUCAUACUUUGGGGAGGGGGCGAGUGAGUGAGUGAGGGCAAAGACCAGGCAAGGAUUUAAGAGCCUCCCCAGCAACCUCAUAGCUCAGCCUGACAACUUGCAUUAGACUGACAUCCCUUCCGUUGCUCUGCCUGCCCCUUCCAAAGAGGCAUUUCUAUGUGCAUUAUAGUCCACCCUGCUACCACCUGGAGGAUGUCAAGCUUUUUUUUUUUAGAGUAGCAAAAGCCCUGGGAGGAAAGGGGUGACUUCAUGGGCAUUGGCCAGUCAGUGCUGAUCACUGCCAGUCAGUACACAUUCGUGGUGCAGCGGAGAUCUACUGUUUUUGACAUGUUGCAUCCAUCUUCUGCCUGCGCAUCUUUGGCACUGCGCGACCUUCAGUCAUGCAAGAGGUGUUGUGUGCGACAGACAUAAUGAGAGAUCCCCUUGGACUGUGAUAGGGAGGAGCCACAGAGAGGGCAAAGCUGGGCCGUGCUGGGCCGAAGGUGCUUCUUGGUAGUUUUCUGGGCUUUAUGGGAUAGUGGCCGAGAGAGCCGGGGCAGCUGUGGAACCGGCAGGACUCCGCUUUCCGAUCCUUCACCCACGAAGGAGAAACUCCUAGGAGCAUGCCUGGCACUUUUCCAAACCGACUUUUGGAAAGACUUGCCUGUGCGGAGUCUUGCAUGGGGACGUGGCCCGCAUCCGUGGGGUGCCGUUAGUUAUCCAGGCUCCUUUCCGUGAUCUCUCGUCAGUCCUCUUUGGAGAACCCGAUUCCCCUCCCCUCCAACCGCUUCUCUCUCUCUCUCUCUCUCUCUCUUCCUUUCUUUUUUCAAGCAGAGGUACCGAAAAGGAACGUGGCCCAGGGAAAGAGCGAGGGCCAAUGUGGGCAGAAUUUGCAGGCCUGAAAUUUCUGACCUUGGAGAGCAGCUCACCCGUCCUGUCCUCCUCCUUGUCAAACAGGAAGCGGGAUAGCAGGCAAAGGGUGGUUGCCAAAGGGCUCUGUGUGUCGGCGGAGAUCCAUGCGCAGGAGCCCCAGAGAGACCUGUCACAUGGCAGUCUGUGUGUAGAAGUAUUGAAUGACACAGGGGACAGGGGUGGGUGGGACAGUGGUUGGCAGGGGUGUGGGCCCAGGAACGGUGGGUAGGCAAACUUCCUACCCGUGGUGAGGGGGGGCGGGCAGGCGGGGGGAGCUCAGAGCUCCCGCGUUGCCGCAACAGGGCUGGUUCGUAGCUUGUUUGACGUCUUGCUUUGUUUCUUCUCUCUCCUGUUCUUGGACUUGUAAUACUGUGACUGUCUCCAUUAGCAACAUUUCCGGAUUUGAUGUUGUGAUUCUUCUUACUUAAUGUAAAGGGUUUAAAUAAAGCUUCUAGAUGUUCAACCUUCA